rnacentral:misc_RNA from 1 species
GAGAAGGCGGGAAAAAGCAGACGACAACUGAAGAUUACAAAUCCUCCAAAAGCCCCAGCUUUACGAGGCGUAUGCUUAACAAACUAAAGAAAUUUGGACAAUCAAAAGAUAAAUCUACUAAUUUGUACGAUUAAUGAUGACCCAGUGGGUUAGUACAUUAAUCUGAGUUUUGACAAUAUACAUACUAGUAUGUAGAACAAAAAAUUGAAAGAUUUGAAGUUGGUGAUUAUUCAUUCAGACAAACACAUAAUAAACUGUGUAGAAUUAAAAUCAUUACAAUUAAGCAAUUUAUUAAUUUUAUUCAUAUUUUAUUCAUAUUAAUGUUUAGCUACGUGAAAGAUCUGUCGAUUAGGGAUGAUUUAUUCCUAUAGGAAACAUUGUACAAUAUUCCCCUCUUCAACCCAUUCCAGUUUUCGUCUGUGUCGUGUUCAUCACUAUGGACUUCCGUAAUUCUGUAAUUGAAUCAAUGAAUUGUUUUUGUCUGUGGAAUACUCUAUAUGCCUGAAAGAAACAAUAACUCAUUGUUAUGAAUAUUCAUGAAUCCUUAUGCGUGUAAAACAAUUGAGCUUAAAAUUUGUAUUGUUGUACUGAGAAUGAAUGUUGCUUGUAAGAAUGAGAAUGUGGUCAAUAGCAUUUAAAUGUUCAUGUUUUGUACUUUGAAAUAUGCAAAUCAGUAAUUAAAUAAACUAAUUUUUGAAUUCAC